GGCAAGAUGGCCGAGCGGUCUAAGGCGCCACGUUAAGGUAUACCCUUAAUUCCUAUCCUCUGGAUUCCGUGGUCCGAAAGGGCGUGGGUUCGAAUCCCACUCUUGUCA
rnacentral:tRNA from 1 species